GACAGAGGUGCCGAGCGUUAGGCGGAAUCACUGGGCUUAAAGGGCGCGUAGGCGGGCUGUCAAGUCGGUGGUGAAAUCUUUCGGCUCAACCGGAAAAUUGCCUUCGAUACUGGCGGCCUGGAGGGAGGUAGGGGCAUGCGGAACUUCCGGUGGAGCGGUGAAAUGCGUAGAUAUCGGAAGGAACACCGAUGGCGAAAGCAGCGUGCUGGACCUUUUCUGACGCUGAGGCGCGAAAGCCAGGGGAGCAAACGGG
rnacentral:rRNA from 1 species